rnacentral:rRNA from 1 species
UACGUAGGGUGCAAGCGUUGUCCGGAAUUAUUGGGCGUAAAGAGCUCGUAGGCGGUUUGUCGCGUCUGCUGUGAAAACUCGGGGCUUAACCCCGGGCCUGCAGUGGGUACGGGCAGACUAGAGUGCGGUAGGGGAGACUGGAAUUCCUGGUGUAGCGGUGAAAUGCGCAGAUAUCAGGAGGAACACCGGUGGCGAAGGCGGUUCUCUGGGCAUUACCUGACGCUGAGGAGCGAAAGCGUGGGGAGCGAACAGG